rnacentral:rRNA from 1 species
UACAGAGGGGGCAAGCGUUGUUCGGAAUUACUGGGCGUAAAGGGCGCGUAGGCGGCCCUCUAAGUCAGACGUGAAAUCCCACGGCUCAACCGUGGAACUGCUGGGUAUACUGGAUGUCUUGAGGUAUUCAGGGGCAACUGGAACAAAUGGUGGAGCGGUGAAAUGCGUAGAUAUCAUUUGGAACGCCUGUGGUGAAGACGGGUUGCUGGGAAUAUUCUGACGCUGAGACACGAAAGCCAGGGGAGCAAACGGG